CUGGCGCGAGGAAGGAAAGACUGAUCGAAUUACGAGCGUCUCCGUCGCUGCUGCGUUUCUUCCCUCCCCCCCCCCCCCCCCCCACCCUCUCUUGGCUCCUCGUAUAAGUCCGCGCUGUCCCGCUCCCGCCGUCUCUUCCGGUUCUUUUCCUUCUUCUCCGUCGCGGCCGCCGGUGCCUAGAGUCUUGGAUUAGACGGUAUAUCUUUAUCUCGUGCGCCGGGAGAAGUUAAACCUAUGCAGCGACGUAAAUCCGGACGGGAGCGCAGACUCCGCGUUGCUGCCGCCCGGCGAAACGGGAAACUUUAACCACGGCCUGUGGAGACCCAGACCCGACGAACUUUUGGCUAAUGGCAAUUACUGCAAUCCGGUAACGUCAGCUAGCGGAGUACUUCUACCCUACGAAAAUGAACGCGAACUCGACGAUUCGAACACGCUUUGGGAAUUUGUGUGGCACACUUAUGUGGCCGGGAUCUAACUGCGAGGGGGAAAAUCUGCAUCUCACUUCGAGGGAAAGUUUCUCCACGACAAAAUGCACAACGCAGCAAGCAAACAUGCAGUCCUAAAAUAUGAAGAGCCACAUAUAUGUAUACCAUCGAAUAUAACCGUGGAAUAUUACAAGCUGACCACAUGCCUGGAAUACCGAGCCACAGCCAGUGUAUCGUAUAGGUACGCAUCACACAUGUGUGGACAAAUGCACACCGUGUAGUAUUAUGCGGUAAUCGCUCCAUUGCCCGCAUCCCUAAAAUAAAAAAAG
rnacentral:lncRNA from 1 species